GCCUUCGUGGUGUAACGGUCAGUACGCUGGGCGUGUAUUCCAGCGGUCCGUGGUUCGAGUCCCGGCGAAGGCG
rfam:Stegodyphus mimosarum contig84941, whole genome shotgun sequence.